rnacentral:rRNA from 1 species
UGGGGAAUAUUGCACAAUGGGCGCAAGCCUGAUGCAGCCAUGCCGCGUGUAUGAAGAAGGCCUUCGGGUUGUAAAGUACUUUCAGCGGGGAGGAAGGCGAUAAGGUUAAUAACCUUGUCGAUUGACGUUACCCGCAGAAGAAGCACCGGCUAACUCCGUGCCAGCAGCCGCGGUAAUACGGAGGGUGCAAGCGUUAAUCGGAAUUACUGGGCGUAAAGCGCACGCAGGCGGUCUGUCAAUUCAGAUGUGAAAUCCCCGGGCUCAACCUGGGAACUGCAUUCGAAACUGGCAGGCUAGAGUCUUGUAGAGGGGGGUAGAAUUCCAGGUGUAGCGGUGAAAUGCGUAGAGAUCUGGAGGAAUACCGGUGGCGAAGGCGGCCCCCUGGACAAAGACUGACGCUCAGGUGCGAAAGCGUGGGGAGCAAACA